rnacentral:misc_RNA from 1 species
AACUGAUACUACCUGCGGGAACCUGCGGAAGGAUCAUUACCGAGUUUUCAACUCCCUAACCCUUCUGUGAACCUACCUAUCGUUGCUUCGGCGGACUCGCCCCAGCCCGGACGCGGACUGGACCAGCGGCCCGCCGGGGACCUCAAACUCUUGUAUUCCAGCAUCUUCUGAAUACGCCGCAAGGCAAAACAAAUGAAUCAAAACUUUCAACAACGGAUCUCUAGAUCGGAAGAGCACACG